AGAAGAUUCUAGCUGUUCAGGGUCUGUGAGGAGGAGUCAAGGUCUGGGGUUUGUGUCCUCUGGCAUAGCAAUGGCACUGCAAUGGGGGAGCCUGUUGCUGGGCUGGGCCAUCUCGCCACUGUCACCUGCCUGUUGAGGGGUGACGGUGGUUGUUGAGAGGCUGGAUCAGACCCCAGAGGUGACAUGGAUGUGGCAUAUUUGUUGGACUUACACAGCCUUGCAUUUUAUUUUCAUCUCUGUUCCUUCCUCCCAUGAGAUCUUGGGUGGUGUUUAUCAACCCUGAGUAAUCGUUUCUUUGUCUGCAAGAUGGAAUAAAAAGGCCUACCUCAUUGGGCUCGUGUGGGUGAGGAGAACUGAAGAGUCUGAGAGCGCGGCACGAGCCAGAGGCUACGGAAAACACUGCCCUCCUACACUCCACCUUGGAGAGACCCAGAAAAGAACAAGCUUCAUUUGUAAAAAAGGAAAACAACUCAGGCAAUGGGGGUGGCUUAAAGAACUUGGAAUAACUUGCAGUGUCUUGCAGUAUUGUGAAACCAGCAACUUGUUCACAAUUCUUCUGAAUUUCUUGGGAAAUUUGAAGUGGAGUACCUGUACCAACAUGAAAUGACACGAAUUUAAGUGACGCUCAACAACGAAAAGCAAAAAGAACCAAAGAGGAAGCAACUGAAACAACAUCUGGAUGUAUUUAAAAAUAUACAAUGCCUCCAAAAUCAGGUGUCAUUAAUGAAAAUUCUGAAGAAAUGCCACCGGACAUAGCCAACGCACCUACGCUGUUGUUAUUCAUUUCCUGCUUUUCACAGAAAACAAUUUUGUUGCAUGGAAGAUCGUGAACUUCAAAGGGCAGAGGGGAAACUGUCCCUUGGCCUCUACCCCUCCAAGGCCCCACUUUUUUGUCAACACUCCUUGGACGCAGCAGAAGUAUGAACAUAAUAUGGUCCUGAAUGAGGCUGAGUCUUUGGGCGCAGAAGACCCGGGUUAAUAAAAAUAGGAAGGUAAGAAAAGAAAAGAAAAAUCAAGACACAUCAUAGGACUAAAUUCCUAUUAUUUAUCCACUCAGGAUUGACCACCCCUUUGGGCCAGAUAGUUGUACCCCCAUGUACCAGGUGGGCACAUGAAGACACAAGAAGUGCUGUGAUGGUUCAUUUUGCACGUCACCUUGCGUGGAGUAUGCCAACUCAUUGUUUGGUCAAACACUAGUCUGGACAUGGUGGUAAAGGUAUUUUUUAGAUGAGAUUAACACUUAAAUCAGUAAAGCAGGUUACCCACCAUACUACGGGUGGGCCCUGUCCAAUCAGUUGAAGGCAUUAAGAACAAAGAUUGAGGUUUCCUAAAGAAGAUGGAAUUCUCCUUGAGACUACAACAUAGAAACCCUAUCUGAGUUUCCAGCCUGUUGCCCUGUGGAAUUCAAACUCAGGACUCCGGUCUAUGACAUUAACCCUCACUUAACUUUUCAGCCUGCCAGCCUGCCCUAUGGAUUUCGGACUUGCCAGCCACACAAUUCCUUAAAAUAAAUCUCUCCGUCUCUGUCUGUUUCUCUCUGUCUAUAUACACACCUGCAUGCAUAUAUACAUAUAUAUAUGUAUGCAUCUAUAUAUUUAUAUCUAAUCUCGUAUUGCUUAUUGGUUCUGUUUCUCUGUAGAACUCUGCCUAAUACAGCUGAAGAUGUAUUCUCUUUAGAAAGCUUGCAAUUACUGGGGAACAAUCAGUACAGAAGUCGACAAUUACAGAAAGGGGACUAGGGUAAUAUGGUGGCCAAUGUCCUUGUGAGUAGUGGUGACAGAGGGCAACAAGUUAGAGACUGCCAAGGGAAAGUCAAGAGCAAGGGAAACAGAGAUGAAGUAGGUUCAGCCAGGCCCCACCACCUACCCAGACUAAACCUGGAGAGUCUCUUUUCCCUUUAGUCUUUUAAAAAUAUUUUA
rnacentral:lncRNA from 1 species